GACGUAGGGCGCGAGCGUUGUCCGGAUUUAUUGGGCGUAAAGGGCGCGUAGGCGGCGAAACAAGUGACGGGUGAAAUCCCUCGGCUUAACCGAGGAACUGCCUGUCAGACUGUUUGGCUUGAGACCGGGAGAGGUGAGUGGAAUUCCCAGUGUAGCGGUGAAAUGCGUAGAUAUUGGGAGGAACACCAGUGGCGAAGGCGGCUCACUGGACCGGUACUGACGCUGAGGCGCGAAAGCGUGGGGAGCAAACAGG
rnacentral:rRNA from 1 species